GCCAGGGGUGGUGGUGCACACCUGUAGUCCCAGCUACUCAGGAGGCUGAGGCAGGAGAAUCACUUGAACCCAGGAGGCAGAGGUUGCAGUAAGCCAAGACUGUACCACUGCACUUCAGCCUGGGUGACAGAGUGAGACCCUGUCUCAA
ensembl:misc_RNA Metazoa_SRP Metazoan signal recognition particle RNA